AUGGCCUUCUGUCUUUCAAGAGCAAAAGACCAUUUCUUCUGCCUCACCGGCCUCGCCGCUGGGUCGAUGUUGAGUCGAUGUGUCAUUAUCUCCGAGGGGAUGCCCGACAUAUCCGCUGCCGACCAGGCGAAUAUGUCGGCAUUGGCCUUCAGUAGCUCCGCCAACUGUCGUCGCUCGGGGUCGGGUAAUUGAGACCCGACCCAUACCUUUCGGUCGGGAUUCUUCGCUAUCGAGAUGGGAACGAGCU
rnacentral:lncRNA from 1 species